rnacentral:rRNA from 1 species
AUUGAACGCUGGCGGCAUGCUUUACACAUGCAAGUCGAACGGUAACAGGCCUUCGGGUGCUGACGAGUGGCGAACGGGUGAGUAAUGCAUCGGAACGUGCCCAGAGGUGGGGGAUAACGCAGCGAAAGCUGUGCUAAUACCGCAUGUGAUCUGAGGAUGAAAGCGGGGGACCAAGCAGCAAUGUUUGGCCUCGCGCCUCUGGAGCGGCCGAUGUCAGAUUAGGUAGUUGGUGGGGUAAAGGCCUACCAAGCCGACGAUCUGUAGCUGGUCUGAGAGGACGACCAGCCACACUGGGACUGAGACACGGCCCAGACUCCUACGGGAGGCAGCAGUGGGGAAUUUUGGACAAUGGGCGCAAGCCUGAUCCAGCAAUGCCGCGUGCGGGAAGAAGCCCUUCGGGUUGUAAACCGCUUUUGUACGGAACGAAAAGGCUCUGGCUAAUACCUGGGGCUGAUGACGGUACCGUAAGAAUAAGCACCGGCUAACUACGUG